rnacentral:Y_RNA from 1 species
AGCUGGUCCAAAGCUAGUUGGUGUUCACAGUCAGAUAUAGAUUGAACUCUUUGUUCUACUCCUUUCCUCCUCAUUACUUUGCUUGUCUAAUAAAAA